rnacentral:lncRNA from 1 species
UUUAAUAAUUUACUAUUUAUUAGUAAUUUAUAUCGGACUUCUUAAUGCAUUUAACUGUUUGUCAACGCGUCACUUUAGGCCCAGAGACAAACCCUAUUGUUGUGCUAACAUUAGCCACCUAGCAACAAACUGAUAACGACAAACCGACCCACGGAAGAGUUUAAACCGCUGCUAAAGGCAAACAGACUUUGGCUAAAGUCAGAGAAUCGUACAAGACGCAGUCCCCGUUUAAAAUGUAAAGUUAACGAUGAUCCAAGUUCUGUUUAAACAUGUUAGUGAGUACAAAUAGCGUUAGCGCAGCGAGCGAGGCUAAGUUAGCUAACUGCCUGAGUGUGGGAUGUACGGUAACCUGGCAACAGACCAUGCAGUGCACUAUGGGUAGUGUAGUUUAGUUUGACGGACGACGCUCAACAAUCAACACUAAGGUUUUUUGUUAUUUAUUUAAAAUGUUUUUGUCCUUUGACUUUACAAUAAAUAUAACUCUAACAUUAAAACUAUAAAGUCUUAACCUGUUCAGAACAGAUCUAAACUAUAAUACGAAACAGACAAACAAAGUAAAGUUUAAUAUCUUCAACGCUGUGGGACUUCCGGUUUUAACUUUAUAUUUGUUCCUUUUUUCUUUUUUUUACAAAUUACAUUAACAGAUACGUUUACAGCUGUCUCUGAAUUAAAUCAAUACUGAAGAAGACCUAAAAACAUGAUCAUGUCAAGCACGUCUUUCAUUGAAUUGUAACCAUGUAAUCAGACUGUGAUGGAAUAAUACCAAGACAGAAAUCUCAGUAUUUUAUUGUUUAUUCGGCCUGGAGCUGUAUUUUCCAGAGUUCAGUUACUGGUCCUGCCAACCCGACCACUGUUUUUCCUGCUUAUUGUUGUUUUGUUGUCUUGUUGCCUGCUUUUCUUUUCUCUCUCCUCUUUAUACUCACCCCAGCCAGUCGAGGCAGAUGGCCCUAAGUCUGGUUCUGCUGGAGGUUUCUUCCUCUAAAGGCAGUUUUUCCUCUCCACUGUCUCCUGGUGCUGCUCAGUGGGAUUGCUGGGUUUCUACAUAAUUCUGUGUAUAUUUAUAUUUUGUAAGGUCUUAAACCUUAAACACUGUAAAGUGCCUUGAGAAUGUUGUUGUGAUGUGGUGCUAUAUAAAUAAAAC